rnacentral:rRNA from 1 species
AUACGUAGGUGGCAAGCGUUGUCCGGAAUUAUUGGGCGUAAAGCGCGCGCAGGCGGUCCUUUAAGUCUGAUGUGAAAUCACGUGGCUUAACCACGUGCGGUCAUUGGAAACUGGAGGACUUGAGUGCAGAAGAGGAAAGUGGAAUUCCAAGUGUAGCGGUGAAAUGCGUAGAGAUUUGGAGGAACACCAGUGGCGAAGGCGACUUUCUGGUCUGUAACUGACGCUGAGGCGCGAAAGCAUGGGGAGCGAACAGGAUUAGAUACCCUGGUAGUCCACGCCGUAAACGAUGAGUGCUAAGUGUUAGGGGGUUUCCGCCCCUUAGUGCUGCAGCAAACGCAUUAAGCACUCCGCCUGGGGAGUACGGUCGCAAGACUGAA